rnacentral:rRNA from 1 species
GAUGAACGCUGGCGGCGUGCCUAAUACAUGCAAGUCGAGCGAACAGACGAGGAGCUUGCUCCUCUGACGUUAGCGGCGGACGGGUGAGUAACACGUGGAUAACCCACCUAUAAGACUGGGAUAACUUCGGGAAACCGGAGCUAAUACCGGAUAAUAUAUUGAACCGCAUGGUUCAAUAGUGAAAGACGGUUUUGCUGUCACUUAUAGAUGGAUCCGCGCCGCAUUAGCUAGUUGGUAAGGUAACGGCUUACCAAGGCAACGAUGCGUAGCCGACCUGGGAGGGUGGUCGGCCACACUGGAGCUGGAACACGGUCCAGGCUCCUGCGGGAGGCAGCAGUAGGGAAUCUGCCGCAAUGGGCGAGAACCUGGCGGAGCAGCGCCACGUGAGAGGUAGAGGUGUUCGGAUCGUGAUGCUCUGUUAUUAGGGAAAAACAAAUGUGUAAGUAGCUGUGCACGUCUUGACGGUACCUGGUCAGAAAGCCACGGCUAACUACGUG